GCAUAUCAAUAAGCGGAGGAAAGGAAAUUAACAAAGAUUUCCUUAGUAACGGCGAGUGAAAAGGAAAUAGUCCAGCGCUGAAUCCCUUAGCCUUCGGUUAAGGGACCUGUGGCGUGAAGGAGAGCCUAUCCGGCUGGUUCGAGACUUCGGAAGCUUCCUCGAACGGGGUUCCAAAGCGGGUGCGAGGCCCGUAACGAGGUCGCGCCAGUCGGUUUGCGCCUCCAUAGAGUCGGGUUACUUGAGAGUGUAGCCCAAAGCGGAAGGUAAACCCCUUCUAAGACUAAAUAUGACCGUGAGACCGAUAGCGAACAAGUACCGCGAGGGAAAGUUGAAAAGAACUUUGAAGAGAGAGUUCAAAAGGGCGUGAAACCGCUUAGAAUAAAACGGACGGAACCGUCUGAGGCCCUUCGAGAAUCAGUCGAACGACGCGCGAACGCGUUUCGGGUUCCAGAGCGUAAAAGUCUGGCUCGAACGUCUAGUAGUCGCGUUCGUUAGGCGCAUUUCUCGAGGGUUAGCGUCGCGACCGAUGCAAAAGGCUGGUGAGGUCGUUGGGUCGAGGUCGAAACCCCUCGUGGGUCUUCGCAACCGGCCCGGUGGAGAAUCGCCAGACCUAGAUGAGCAUCGAGCGCUUAAACGAACUUAACGUCGGCGUAAACGCACGUCGAACGGCGGAGAGUCGGCCAAUUAGUUGACGCCUGCUUGCAGGCGCUCGAUUAAUGCAUGGUUGUCUUCAAAGUCGUCGACGACCGGCGAUUAGGCGUCCGCGACGUCCGAGUCGGUCACCCGUCCGACCCGUCUUGAAACACGGACC
rnacentral:rRNA from 1 species